rnacentral:lncRNA from 1 species
UUCCUCCUCAUCUCUCAAAUCUGGAGCCUUAGGAUCUGUUUGGAGCUUAUAUUCUUGUAGAAAAGAUAGCAUGGACCAUUUACUAGAGCCACCCAGUAAAAGCUACCUGCAUUUAGAUAGAUUGGAUACGACUGAGUUAUUUUGCUGUGAAUCAAGUAUUAGCCCAGGUAAAUACUUUUAACUUAUUUUCCCUUAUACGGGCUUGGGAUACGGUAAAUUAAUACCGCUUGGUCGGGUGUGGAUCAAUCAAAUGCCGGAUUGUGGCUAGUAAAUCCACAAAACCUGUUUUGAUACUGUUCUGUUGAUGACUUAAACAUUGGGGGUUAACGACCGUG